rnacentral:lncRNA from 1 species
AAUUGGAUUCAGGUCUGGGGAACGGGCAGGCCAGUCCAUAGCAUCAAUGCCUUCGUCUUGCAGGAACUGCUGACACACUCCAGCCACAUGAGGUCUAGCAUUGUCUUGCAUUAGGAGGAAAUCAGGGCCAACCGCACCAGCAUAUGGUCUCACAAGGGGUCUGAGGAUCUCAUCUCGGUACCUAAUGGCAGUCAGGCUACCUCUGGUGAGCACAUGGAGGGCUGUGCGGCCCC